rnacentral:tRNA from 1 species
GGAGAGGUAGCUCAGCUGGUAGAGCAAAUGCACGGAAGAUCCUUUCAAUAUUACCUUGAUUUAAAAAUAAAAAGGAUUAUCCAGAUAGAAUACAACUCAAGUUAAAAUGAGUUAUUAAAGUAAAUAUAAAAAGUUAAGUGUCGUCUCAGAAUCAUACUUCGAUUACGGUUCACCAGGUUGCAGGUUCGAAUCCUGCCAUCUCUU